UACGAAGGGGGCUAGCGUUGCUCGGAAUGACUGGGCGUAAAGGGCGCGUAGGCGGAUGGCACAGUCAGAUGUGAAAUUCCCGGGCUUAACCUGGGGGCUGCAUUUGAUACGUGUUGUCUUGAGUUCGGAAGAGGGUCGUGGAAUUCCCAGUGUAGAGGUGAAAUUCGUAGAUAUUGGGUGGAACACCGGUGGCGAAAGCGGCCCCCUGGCCCGGUCCUGACGCUGAGGCGCGAAAGCGUGGGGAGCAAACAGG
rnacentral:rRNA from 1 species